CUGGAACGGCUCGUUCUAAAAUUUGAACAGUAUAAAAUGUUAGUUGGAAAAAUUGUUAUUUCGAUAAAUAUUUCUUAAAUUGGUGUCCAAGGUGUGCACUGGCAACAAGGUCCUUGCAGAGUUCAUCACUGAGCUGAGCUGGGCCAUAACUCUGAGAAUGUCGAGGAAUUCGCUGCAAAACUGAAGGAGAAUGACGUCCAGAUGCUGGAUUUUCAACUACAACUACAGAGAUUCAAAGGAUAAAUUUGGGACAUCCAGAGUGGGUCAAUAACCAUGAGCUUGUGAUGACAACUAAGGAAUAAAUGGCUCGUUGAAUUGGCUCCAAGAUUCUUCAAAGUGGCAUGUCCUACAAAGAUGAGCAAUCGAAAGUGUCAAGAGCAUAUAUAAUAGAACCACUUUGUGAUGGACAUCACAAGCCAAAUUCAUGGCGUUUGAGUAAACGUCGUGCAUGAUUGAUAUGUAAUUAAUAUUUUCCUCUUAAUGUAAUGUCUUGAAUACUCUUGUAUGUUGUAUGUAGUUUUAAAUGUAACAUUUCUUACACGAAGAAUUAAAUGGGAAUUUAUUAGACAUGAAA